GACGAACGCUGGCGGCGUGCUUAACACAUGCAAGUCGAACGGAAAGGCCCUGCUUUUGUGGGGUGCUCGAGUGGCGAACGGGUGAGUAGCACGUGAGUAACCUGCCCUUGACUUUGGGAUAACUUCAGGAAACUGGGGCUAAUACCGGAUAGGAGCUCCUGCUGCAUGGUGGGGGUUGGAAAGUUUCGGCGGUUGGGGAUGGACUCGCGGCUUAUCAGCUUGUUGGUGGGGUAGUGGCUUACCAAGGCUUUGACGGGUAGCCGGCCUGAGAGGGUGACCGGCCACAUUGGGACUGAGAUACGGCCCAGACUCCUACGGGAGGCAGCAGUGGGGAAUAUUGCACAAUGGGCGGAAGCCUGAUGCAGCAACGCCGCGUGCGGGAUGACGGCCUUCGGGUUGUAAACCGCUUUCGCCUGUGACGAAGCGUGAGUGACGGUAAUGGGUAAAGAAGCACCGGCCAACUACGUG
rnacentral:rRNA from 1 species